rnacentral:rRNA from 1 species
AUUGAACGCUGGCGGCAGGCCUAACACAUGCAAGUCGAGCGGAUGAAGGGAGCUUGCUCCUGGAUUCAGCGGCGGACGGGUGAGUAAUGCCUAGGAAUCUGCCUGGUAGUGGGGGAUAACGUCCGGAAACGGGCGCUAAUACCGCAUACGUCCUGAGGGAGAAAGUGGGGGAUCUUCGGACCUCACGCUCUCAGAUGAGCCUAGGUCGGAUUAGCUAGUUGGUGGGGUAAAGGCCUACCAAGGCGACGAUCCGUAACUGGUCUGAGUGGAUGAUCAGUCACACUGGAACUGAGACACGGUCCAGACUCCUACGGGAGGCAGCAGUGGGGAAUAUUGGACAAUGGGCGAAAGCCUGAUCCAGCCAUGCCGCGUGUGUGAAGAAGGUCUUCGGAUUGUAAAGCACUUUAAGUUGGGAGGAAGGGCAGUAAGUUAAUACCUUGCUGUUUUGACGUUACCAACAGAAUAAGCGCCGGCUAACUUCGUG